rnacentral:rRNA from 1 species
UACGUAGGUGGCGAGCGUUGUCCGGAUUUACUGGGCGUAAAGGGAGCGUAGGCGGACUUUUAAGUGAGAUGUGAAAUACUCGGGCUCAACUUGAGUGCUGCAUUUCAAACUGGAAGUCUAGAGUGCAGGAGAGGAGAAUGGAAUUCCUAGUGUAGCGGUGAAAUGCGUAGAUAUUAGGAGGAACACCAGUUGCGAAGGCGGCUCUCUGGACUGUAACUGACACUGAGACACGAAAGCGUGGGGAGCAAACAGG